UACAGAGGUCUCAAGCGUUUGUUCGGAUUCAUUGGGCGUAAAGGGUGCGUAGGCGGCGCGGUAAGUCGGGUGUGAAAUUUCGAGGCUUAACUCCGAAACUGCAUUCGAUACUGCCGUGCUUGAGGACUGGAGAGGAGACUGGAAUUUACGGUGUAGCGGUGAAAUGCGUAGAUAUCGUAAGGAAGACCAGUGGCGAAGGCGGGUCUCUGGACAGUUCCUGACGCUGAGACGCG
rnacentral:rRNA from 1 species